rnacentral:rRNA from 1 species
UACAGAGGGUACGAGCGUUGUCCGGAAUACUGGGCGUAAAGGGCGCGUAGGCGGCUUGGUAAGUCGGGGGGUGAAAACUCGAGGCUCAACCUCGAGACGUCGAUGGAAACCAUCUGGCUAGAGUCCGGAAGAGGAGAGUGGAAUUCCUGGUGUAGCGGUGAAAUGCGCAGAUAUCAGGAAGAACACCCGUGGCGAAGGCGGCUCUCUGGGGACGGUACUGACGCUGAGACGCGAAAGCGUGGGGAGCGAACAGG